CCUACGGGAGGCAGCAGUGAGGAAUAUUGGUCAAUGGGCGGAAGCCUGAACCAGCCAAGUAGCGUGCAGGAUGACGGCCCUACGGGUUGUAAACUGCUUUUAUACGGGAAUAACGCGCCUUACGUGUAGGGCUUUGCAUGUACCGUAUGAAUAAGGACCGGCUAAUUCCGUGCCAGCAGCCGCGGUAAUACGGAGGAUGCGAGCGUUAUCCGGAUUUAUUGGGUUUAAAGGGUGCGCAGGCGGGAGAUCAAGUCAGCGGUAAAAUGUCGGGGCUCAACCCCGGCCGGCCGUUGAAACUGGUUUUCUAGAGUUGGAGAGAAGUAUGCGGAAUUCGUGGUGUAGCGGUGAAAUGCAUAGAUAUCACGAAGAACUCCGAUUGCGAAGGCAGCAUACCGGCUCCAUACUGACGCUGAGGCACGAAAGCGUGGGGAUCGAACAGGAUUAGAUACCCCAGUAGUC
rnacentral:rRNA from 1 species